AACUGCACAGGAAGAACGUGUCUGCUACCUAGAUUCUUAUAUUUAUUUAAAAUUAUUGAGCAUAAUGGUCUUAGUAAGCCUGGCCAUCAUCUGAGUUAAACAGCCUAGCAUAUUAGGAAGAAGCUGGACUAGAAUUUGGAACAACCCUGGUGCAAAUCCCAGCUCUGCUACUAACAAGUGAUGUGCUGUUAAGCAAGUGCCCUAACCCUUCUGGAUCUCAGUUUCUUAUCGCAAAAUGGAUUUAAAGUCUCAGCCAUAUAUCACAAAAUUUUUGUGAGGAUUCAAUGAAAUACAAUAUUGUAGAUGGUGGCUUUUAAAAAAAAAUUACUCAUUUGGAGGGUCAGACCUAGAGGUGGUAGAGUGAACGCCGCGCCAGGCAAUGGAAGAAGCACUGGCCUAGACCAAGCUUGAGCGUGCACCACCGUCACCUGGAGGGCUUGCUCCAACACGGAUGGCUGGACCCACCCCCAGAAUUUCAGAUUUAUUAGUUUGUCUCUUCCAGAAUCAAAGCUGUAAAACUACAAAUCAUUCUUCAAAUGGAGCCCCAGAUGCAGUCUGUGACUAAGAUCUACCACGGACCCCUGGACCGGCCUGCUAGCCCAUGCUCCGAAGUUGAUGACAUCGAAGGCACCCCUCCCAAGGAAAUUUCAACUGCAUGACCCUUACUAUGCCCCAAUUCAGCAGGAAGCAGUUAGAGCUGUCGUCAGCCAACAUCCCCAACAGCACUUGGGUUUUCCUAUUGAGAGGGGGUACUGAGAGACAGGACUAGCUGGAUUUCCUAGGCCAACUAAGAAUCCCUAAGCCUAGCUGGGAAGUUGACCACAUCCACCUUUAAACACGGGGUUUGCAACUUAGCUUACACCCAACCAAUCAGGUAGUAAAGAGAGCUCACUAAAAUGCUAACUAGACAAAAACAGGAAGUAAAGAAAUAGCCAAUCAUCUAUCACCUGAGACCAAAGGGGUAGGGACAAUGAUUGGGAUAUAAACCCAGGCAUUCGAGCCGGCAAUGGCUGUCCCCUUUGGGUCCCCUCCCUUUGUAUGGGAGCUCUGUUUUCACUCUAUUAAAUCUUGCAAUUGCAAAAAAAAAAACAAAAAUUCCCUAGUGCCCAGAACUGUAUAUUUAAUAUAUAUUUAUUGCUUGAAUGCAUGAGUGAGUGAAUCUCCACUAACUAUUUCUUUAGAGUAUCCUAUGUGUAACAUGUCAUGGUGAUAAAUUCAUCCCCACUCAUCAGAAUAAGAGAAGUUGGCUAAAAUCCUAGUAUGUGGGAAUGGGGAUAGAUAAUGAAGAACCUGACAUUCAUUCUUACAACAUAAUUACAUGGGUCUCAAGGGAAGGGUGCAAUGACUUUUGAAAAAAAUUCAAUAUUCACAACUUCUUGAUAAAAGGUGUGUUAGGUAGCAUUUGCUUCAGGGAAGAAGAAUUUAUAGUCCUCCAAAUACACCUGGAUAACCUCACCUCAGACUAAAUAGAUCCCAAACCACUACAUUUGCCCAAAGACUUUCUUGUUUCCCACAUCUUCAUUUUUCUGUUAAUUGUGACUCCAUUCCCUACUCACUAGGCUUUAAACGCAGCUGUCAGACACAAUCACUCUUUGCUUGAAUUCAUUUAGUUACCAAGACCUAAACUGAUUUUUUUUUUUAGCAGUCUCUGUCUUGUCACCCAUUCCUUCCUUUCCAUUCUUAGAGCCCAAUUUUCUAGAUCAGGUCUUGUAUUCUCAGUCUCUAAUAUUUCAUGGGUAGGUCCAGCUUGUCUCCUUGCAUACAUUUCUCCCUCCAGCAGCUGUUAUGAACUGAAUUAUGUCCCCACCCACCCCCAGAUUCAUAUGUUUAAGCCCUAACCCCAUGUGACUGUGUUAGUAGACCGAGCAUUUUUGGAGGUAAUUUUGGUUCCAUGAGAUUAUAAGGAUGGGGCCCUAAUUUGAUAGGACUGGUGUCCUUAUAGGAAGAGGAUGAGACACUACUCUUUCUCUCUGCUCAUACGCAGAGAAAAGGCGGCCAUCUACAAGCCAGCAAGAGGGCCUCACUAGGAUGAAUUUUCCAGCAUCUUGAUCUGAACUUCUAGCCUCCAGAACUGUGAUAAAUUAAAUUUCUGUGGUUGUAGCCACCUGGUCUGUGGUAUUUCAUGUCAGUCAUAACAGACUAAUAAAUAGGCUAUCUGCCCAGUAUUCUCAGAGUUACAUGCAUAAAACACUAAACUGACCCCAUGCUUUAUAAAUCCCCAAGGCUGCCACUGCCCACCCCCAUGACUUGUAAGUCCAAAUGCUUUAGCUUGGAACCUGAGGCCACCCUCCGUGUCGUCCCCAUAGUUACCUGCUCAGCCUCUCAGCCUUUAUAUUGUUUAAGGCAAACAUUCUGAUCUCAUUGUCCUCAAAACCCACAUGGCAUUUUCUGAAGCCACAGUGAAGCAUGAUGCCUUUGGGGAACUGCCCGUGGUUGCCAUGGCUGCAAGGUGAGUCUACAUCAGAGGAUGGCAGGAUGUGAGUGAGAGGAGUCACGUUGCAGACAUGGCUCCCUCCUCCCUCUCUUCCUUGUUAACAGAGUCCUCACUGAGUUUAGAGACGAGAGGUGCCCAGAUCAGAGGCAAAUAAUGAUGUCUAAGCUGGGGGUCAGCAAACUAUUUUCAUAAAGGGCCAGGUGAAGGUAAACAUUUUGGGCUUUGUGGGUGAUAUGGUCUCUGUCACAGCUCCAGCAUUUUAGUGUGAACGUAGCCAUAGGCAAUACAUAAACAAGGGAGCACAGCUGUGUUCCAAUAAAACUUUAUUUACAAAAGCAAUUGUUGGACUAGAUUUGGCCUGUGGGGCAUAGUUUGCCACUCCCUGAUCUGCCAAUCCCAGAGCAAUGACAUUAUUGAUCUUCUGAAUCAAGUGUAGAACAACUUUCGGAUUUCUUGUUAUGUGAGAGGCAGAAAACUCAAUCUUUUAAAGGUCUUUUUAAGCUCUUGCUAUUCACAAGGUUUGCCUUAGACCAGCAGAAUCAGCAUCACCUGGGAGCUUGUUAGAAAUGCAGAAUCUCAGGCCCCCACUCCAACCUCCUAAAUCAGAAUGUGCAUUUUAAUAAGAAGCCCUGGUGACUGGAAGGUUUACUAGAGCUUAAGAAGCACUGGUUGGAGCCGCUGUUGAUUGAAUGUCUUAUUACUUGCAGAUGAAAGCACCCUUAACCAUUGCUGACAGGAACAAGUCUUCAAGAUCUUAUACGCUUUGCUAAGGACCGUGGUUUUGUCCUGAAAGACAUUAAAGGGCUUUAUGUGGGGAAUGAAAUGAUCAGUUUUGGGAGGCAUACAACUCAUCUCUUUGAUGAAAUAAUAAGCUUCUAAAAAUCAGAGUGUACUAAAGAAAUAUCCUUGAUAUUUAUCCUACUUUCCAAGGCCAGCCAAGUAGGUAGACUCCACCACUGCCACACCAUUGGAUGGAAUUCAAAAGCAGCCUCGCCUCUUCUAUAAGACCUGCUCUCCUGCCCAUACCUACUGCCUCAGGCCCCAGGAGGAGUCUCUGUUUCUGGCAUAUCCAUGGGGCUUAAAAGUAAUUGGAAGCUCCAGCAUUAUAAUUUGGCAUCUGAGACUGGAGAACUUUAAUUUUAGUUACACCUAACACUGCCACCACCCAGCUUGGUUCAAUUUAUUUUCUGAAUAUAUAUUCACCUCUCCGAUAAGACUAUGAGCUACUUUGGCCUAAGCAAUCAUAUUUUAAGAUUUUUGCAUCUCUUCCAUAAGGCUUGCCAAGUGCUCUGAUUAUGACAGUCAUGAUAAAUACAAAAUUAAUUCUUAAAAUAUAAGCCAUCAUUUAUUGCUUUUCCAAGCUCUUCGAAUAAUACCUAAAUGGGAUAAGCAUCUCCAAUGUGAAUAUCAUUCAUCAGCUAAGUUAAAAAUAGUAGAGUCAAAAGGAUCCAAAUAACAUCAAAUUUUUUGAAAGGCAGGUCUUUUCAUAUUGUUUAUGGUUAGGUUCUAAUACACCCCAGGAGUGGUUUGAAAGAGUAUUCCACACAAACAUUUGCUCGUAUCAAGUCACUACAUCUUCCUGUGGUUGGUUUAUGUAGAGCUAAAACCCAAACAAACACCACCUCUUACACAUUCACCCAGAGUGUUAGUACUUACAUGGAGAGAGCACGUCAUAAACCCUCUAGACACAUUAUCUUACUUAAACCAUACAAAACCCUAGGGUUGGGUAGAUUAUUAUCUUCACUGAUGAAGAAACCAAAGUGCAGACUGUUGAUGUCAAUUUAGUGAAGAUCACACUGGUAGAAAUUUGGUGGUGGUUAAGAGAGGACAGUUGGAAUUCAAACCCAGAUAGUUAAGCCCUGAGUGUGUGCUCUGAACCAUUAAGCAGUGUCUCCAUAAACAGAGCUUUGCUAUGUCAAAGGCCAAACUCUCACCAGCCUAUUUUCCUCUGCAGGCAUCAUCAGCUGGGAUUUUCAUGUGACAAAUAACCUAUGUUAAGCCGAGAUAUGUUAAAAAUAAAAUGUUAGAAAACACUU